CCUACGGGGGGCAGCAGUGAGGAAUAUUGGUCAAUGGGCUUACGCCUGAACCAGCCAAGUCGCGUGAGGGAAGACUGCCCUAUGGGUUGUAAACCUCUUUUGUCAGGGAGCAAUUGGCGCUACGUGUAGCGUUAUCGAGAGUACCUGAAGAAAAAGCAUCGGCUAACUCCGUGCCAGCAGCCGCGGUAAUACGGAGGAUGCGAGCGUUAUCCGGAUUUAUUGGGUUUAAAGGGUGCGCAGGCGGAAGAUCAAGUCAGCGGUAAAAUUGAGAGGCUCAACCUCUUCGAGCCGUUGAAACUGGUUUU
rnacentral:rRNA from 1 species